rnacentral:rRNA from 1 species
GCGGAGGGAUCAUUACUGAGUUACCGCUCAUCAACCCUUUGUGAACAUACCUUAACUGUUGCUUCGGCGGGUAGGCGUCCCCUAAAAAGGACGUCUCCCGGCCCUCUCCCGUCCGCGGGUGGGGCGCCCGCCGGAGGAUAACCAAACUCUGAUUUAACGACGUUUCUUCUGAGUGACACAAGCAAAUAAUCAAAACUUUUAACAACGGAUCUCUUGGUUCUGGCAUCGAUGAAGAACGCAGCGAAAUGCGAUAAGUAAUGUGAAUUGCAGAAUUCAGUGAAUCAUCGAAUCUUUGAACGCACAUUGCGCCCGCCAGCAUUCUGGCGGGCAUGCCUGUUCGAGCGUCAUUUCAACCCUCAAGCUCUGCUUGGUGUUGGGGCUCUACGGUUGACGUAGGCCCUUAAAGGUAGUGGCGGACCCUCUCGGAGCCUCCUUUGCGUAGUAACAUUUCGUCUCGCAUUGGGAUUCGGAGGGACUCUAGCCGUAAAACCCCCAAUUUUACUAAGGUUGACCUCGGAUCAGGUAGGAAUACCC